rnacentral:rRNA from 1 species
AGUUUGAUCAUGGCUCAGAACGACGCUGGCGGCAUGCCUAACACAUGCAAGUCGAACGAGACCUUCGGGUCUAGUGGCGCGCGGGUGCGUAACGCGUGGGAACCUGCCUUAGGUUCGGAAUAACUCAGAGAAAUUUGAGCUAAUACCGGAUAAUGUCUUCGGACCAAAGAUUUAUCGCCCUGAGAUAAGCCCGCGUAGGAUUAGCUAGUUGGUGGGGUAAAGGCUCACCAAGGCGACGAUCCUUAGCUGGUCUGAGAGGAUGAUCAGCCACACUGGGACUGAGACACGGCCCAGACUCCUACGGGAGGCAGCAGUGGGGGAAUAUUGGACAAUGGGCGAAAGCCUGAUCCAGCAAUGCCGCGUGAGUGAUGAAGGCCUUCGGGUUGUAAAGCUCUUUUACUCGGGACGAUAAUGACGGUACCGAGAGAAUAAGCCCCGGCUAACUCCGUG